rnacentral:rRNA from 1 species
UACGAAGGGAGCUAGCGUUGUUCGGAAUCACUGGGCGUAAAGCGCACGUAGGCGGACUCUUAAGUCGGUGGUGAAAUCCUGGAGCUCAACUCCAGAACUGCCUUCGAUACUGAGAGUCUCGAGUCCGAGAGAGGUGAGUGGAACUGCGAGUGUAGAGGUGAAAUUCGUAGAUAUUCGCAAGAACACCAGUGGCGAAGGCGGCUCACUGGCUCGGUACUGACGCUGAGGUGCGAAAGCGUGGGGAGCAAACAGGG